rnacentral:rRNA from 1 species
AAUCGUUGAAGUGGAACCGGAGAGAGUUGACGUAGUAUGGUGGAUAAGUAUUGCAAGAAUCGCUUCAAACAAUGAAUGUGAUCGAGUAAUAUGUACGUCACCAAAGACUGCGCUGACAGCAUCGACUACACGCUCUGAACUGUGUUGACAUGUUGCCUAUUCUAGUAUAUAGAAUGGUGUCUUGUGUUACGUGGUGAAGUUUGUUGUUAUGUUGUUGAUGUUGAUAAGUAUGAUUAUACACCAAGUAUAAUUAUGUCAGUGUAAAAGUCAACCACCUCUCCGACCCGUCUUGAAACACGGACCGAGGAGUGUAACUUGUACGCGAGUCAUUGGGUGGAAAAACCUUAAGGCGAAACGAAAGUGAAGGCACGGUUAACCGGCUGACAUGGGAAACGUGCGGUAUUGUUAGCGAGACGUUACACCAUGGCCCUGUCUUGUCUGCAUGCAGAUGGGCAGCGGUAGAGCGUACAGGUUGCGACCCGAAAGAUGGUGAACUAUGCCUGAGCAGGACGAAGUCAGAGGAAACUCUGGUGGAAGUCCGUAUCGGUUCUGACGUGCAAAUCGAUCGAUAGAC